rnacentral:rRNA from 1 species
UAGGGAAUAUUGGGCAAUGGAGGCAACUCUGACCCAGCCAUCCCGCGUGCAGGAUGAAGGCCCUCCGGGUCGUAAACUGCUUUUAUUGGGGAAGAAAAAUCGGUAUUCAUACCGACUUGACGGUACCCAAUGAAUAAGCACCGGCUAACUCCGUGCCAGCAGCCGCGGUAAUACGGAGGGUGCAAGCGUUAUCCGGAUUCACUGGGUUUAAAGGGUGCGUAGGCGGCCGAAUAAGUCAGUGGUGAAAGCCCGCAGCUUAACUGCGGAACUGCCAUUGAAACUGCUCGGCUUGAGUACUAUUGAAGUGGGUGGAAUGCAUCAUGUAGCGGUGAAAUGCUUAGAUAUGAUGCAGAACCCCGAUUGCGAAGGCAGCUCACUAAAUAGUAACUGACGCUGAGGCACGAAAGCGUGGGUAGCGAACAG